CUACACAUGCAGUCGAGCGCACCUUCGGGUGAGCGGCGGACGGGUUAGUAACGCGUGGGAACAUACCCUUUUCUACGGAAUAGCCUCGGGAAACUGAGAGUAAUACCGUAUAAGCCCUUCGGGGGAAAGAUUUAUCGGGAAAGGAUUGGCCCGCGUUAGAUUAGAUAGUUGGUGGGGUAAUGGCCUACCAAGUCUACGAUCUAUAGCUGGUUUUAGAGGAUGAUCAGCAACACUGGGACUGAGACACGGCCCAGACUCCUACGGGAGGCAGCAGUGGGGAAUCUUAGACAAUGGGCGCAAGCCUGAUCUAGCCAUGCCGCGUGUGUGAUGAAGGUCUUAGGAUCGUAAAGCACUUUCGCCAGGGAUGAUAAUGACAGUACCUGGUAAAGAAACCCCGGCUAACUCCGUGCCAGCAGCCGCGGUAAUACGGAGGGGGUUAGCGUUGUUCGGAAUUACUGGGCGUAAAGCGUACGUAGGCGGAUUGGAAAGUUGGGGGUGAAAUCCCAGGGCUCAACCCUGGAACUGCCUCCAAAACUAUCAGUCUAGAGUUCGAGAGAGGUGAGUGGAAUUCCAAGUGUAGAGGUGAAAUUCGUAGAUAUUUGGAGGAACACCAGUGGCGAAGGCGGCUCACUGGCUCGAUACUGACGCUGAGGUAC
rnacentral:rRNA from 1 species